UGGCUCAGAGUGAACGCUGGCGGCAGGCCUAACACAUGCAAGUCGAACGGCAGCACAGAGGAGCUUGCUCCUUGGGUGGCGAGUGGCGGACGGGUGAGGAAUACGUCGGAAUCUGCCUAUUUGUGGGGGAUAACGUAGGGAAACUUACGCUAAUACCGCAUACGACCUACGGGUGAAAGUGGGGGACCUUCGGGCCUCACGCAGAUAGAUGAGCCGACGUCGGAUCAGCUAGUUGGCGAGGUAAAGGCCCACCAAGGCGACGAUCCGUAGCUGGUCUGAGAGGAUGAUCAGCCACACUGGAACUGAGACACGGUCCAGACUCCUACGGGAGGCAGCAGUGGGGAAUAUUGGACAAUGGGCGCAAGCCUGAUCCAGCCAUGCCGCGUGUGUGAAGAAGGCCUUCGGGUUGUAAAGCACUUUUGUCCGGAAAGAAAAGCUUAGGGUUAAUAACCCUGAGUCAUGACGGUACCGGAAGAAUAAGCACCGGCUAACUUCGUGCCAGCAGCCGCGGUAAUACGAAGGGUGCAAGCGUUACUCGGAAUUACUGGGCGUAAAGCGUGCGUAGGUGGUUUGUUAAGUCUGAUGUGAAAGCCCUGGGCUCAACCAGGGAAUGGCAUUGGAAACUGGCUUACUAGAGUGCGGUAGAGGGUAGUGGAAUUCCCGGUGUAGCAGUGAAAUGCGUAGAUAUCGGGAGGAACAUCUGUGGCGAAGGCGACUACCUGGACCAGCACUGACACUGAGGCACGAAAGCGUGGGGAGCAAACAGGAUUAGAUANCCUGGUAGUCCACGCCCUAAACGAUGCGGACUGGAUGUUGGGGGCAACUUGGCCCUCAGUAUCGAAGCUAACGCGUUAAGUUCGCCGCCUGGGAAG
rnacentral:rRNA from 1 species